rnacentral:snRNA from 1 species
AGACAAAUAGUACUUGCUUAAGCAGUAAAUUGAAAUGAUACAGAGAAGAUUAGCAUGGCCCCUGUGUAAGGGUGGCACACAAAUUUGUGAUGUGGUCCAUAUUUUU